AUCCAGCUGACGAGAUCUAAAUAGGUUGAAACACGCGUCUUGGAU
rnacentral:hammerhead_ribozyme from 1 species